UAACUGAAGAGUUUGAUCAUGGCUCAGAUUGAACGCUGGCGGCAGGCUUAACACAUGCAAGUCGAGCGGAGAGAGGUAGCUUGCUACUGAUCUUAGCGGCGGACGGGUGAGUAAUGCUUAGGAAUCUGCCUAUUAGUGGGGGACAACAUUUCGAAAGGAAUGCUAAUACCGCAUACGUCCUACGGGAGAAAGCAGGGGAUCUUCGGACCUUGCGCUAAUAGAUGAGCCUAAGUCGGAUUAGCUAGUUGGUGGGGUAAAGGCCUACCAAGGCGACGAUCUGUAGCGGGUCUGAGAGGAUGAUCCGCCACACUGGGACUGAGACACGGCCCAGACUCCUACGGGAGGCAGCAGUGGGGAAUAUUGGACAAUGGGCGCAACGCCUGAUCCAGCCAUGCCGCGUGUGUGAAGAAGGCCUUAUGGUUGUAAAGCACUUUAAGCGAGGAGGAGGCUACUUUAGUUAAUACCUAGAGAUAGUGGACGUUACUCGCAGAAUAAGCACCGGCUAACUCUGUGCCAGCAGCCGCGGUAAUACAGAGGGUGCAAGCGUUAAUCGGAUUUACUGGGCGUAAAGCGCGCGUAGGCGGCUAAUUAAGUCAAAUGUGAAAUCCCCGAGCUUAACUUGGGAAUUGCAUUCGAUACUGGUUAGCUAGAGUGUGGGAGAGGAUGGUAGAAUUCCAGGUGUAGCGGUGAAAUGCGUAGAGAUCUGGAGGAAUACCGAUGGCGAAGGCAGCCAUCUGGCCUAACACUGACGCUGAGGUGCGAAAGCAUGGGGAGCAAACAGGAUUAGAUACCCUGGUAGUCCAUGCCGUAAACGAUGUCUACUAGCCGUUGGGGCCUUUGAGGCUUUAGUGGCGCAGCUAACGCGAUAAGUAGACCGCCUGGGGAGUACGGUCGCAAGACUAAAACUCAAAUGAAUUGACGGGGGCCCGCACAAGCGGUGGAGCAUGUGGUUUAAUUCGAUGCAACGCGAAGAACCUUACCUGGCCUUGACAUAGUAAGAACUUUCCAGAGAUGGAUUGGUGCCUUCGGGAACUUACAUACAGGUGCUGCAUGGCUGUCGUCAGCUCGUGUCGUGAGAUGUUGGGUUAAGUCCCGCAACGAGCGCAACCCUUUUCCUUAUUUGCCAGCGAGUAAUGUCGGGAACUUUAAGGAUACUGCCCAGUGACAAACUGGAGGAAGGCGGGGACGACGUCAAGUCAUCAUGGCCCUUACGGCCAGGGCUACACACGUGCUACAAUGGUCGGUACAAAGGGUUGCUACCUAGCGAUAGGAUGCUAAUCUCAAAAAGCCGAUCGUAGUCCGGAUUGGAGUCUGCAACUCGACUCCAUGAAGUCGGAAUCGCUAGUAAUCGCGGAUCAGAAUGCCGCGGUGAAUACGUUCCCGGGCCUUGUACACAGCGCCCGUCACACCAUGGGAGUUUGUGCACCAGAAGUAGCUAGCCUAACGCAAAGAGGGCGGUUACCACGGUGUGGCCGAUGACUGGGGUGAAGUCGUAACAAGGUAGCUGUAGGGGAACCUGCGGCUGGAUCACCUCCUUA
rnacentral:rRNA from 1 species